AUGGAAUGGAGGUGGACUAUUCUCUUUCUUGUGUCAGUAACUACAGGUGUGCACUCCCAGGUCCAGCUGCAACGAUCUGGUCCUCAGCUGGUGAAGCCUGGGUCCUCAGUGAAGCUGUCCUGCAAGGCUUCAGGGUACACCUUCACUGAAUACUCUAUGGACUGGGUGAAGCAGAAGCCUGGACAAGGCCUGGAGUGGAUUGGAGCUAUUAAUCCUGACUAUGAUGCUGCUGGAUACAAUCAGAAGUUCCAGGGCAAGGCCAAACUGACUGCAGACAAAUCCUCCAGCACAGUCUACAUGGAGCUCAGCAGUCUGACAUCUGAGGACUCUGCCAUCUAUUACUGUACAAGAGACACAGUGUUGCAACCACAUCCUGAGUGUGUGAGAAACCUGGCUGAUCAGGAAACUGCCCUGGGACAGAGAUGA